rnacentral:rRNA from 1 species
GAUGAACGCUGGCGGCGUGCUUAACACAUGCAAGUCGAACGGAAAGGCUCCUGCUUGCAGGGGUACUCGAGUGGCGAACGGGUGAGUAACACGUGGGUGAUCUGCCCUGCACUUCGGGAUAAGCCUGGGAAACUGGGUCUAAUACCGGAUAGGACGAUGGUUUGGAUGCCAUUGUGGAAAGUUUUUCGGUGUUGGAUGAGCUCGCGGCCUAUCAGCUUGUUGGUGGGGUAAUGGCCUACCAAGGCGUCGACGGGUAGCCGGCCUGAGAGGGUGUACGGCCACAUUGGGACUGAGAUACGGCCCAGACUCCUACGGGAGGCAGCAGUGGGGAAUAUUGCACAAUGGGCGCAAGCCUGAUGCAGCGACGCCGCGUGGGGGAUGACGGCCUUCGGGUUGUAAACUACUUUCGCUAGGGACGAAGCGCAAGUGACGGUACCUGGAGAAGAAGCACCGGCUAACUACGUG